rnacentral:rRNA from 1 species
AUUGAACGCUGGCGGCAUGCUUUACACAUGCAAGUCGAACGGUAACAGGCCGCAAGGUGCUGACGAGUGGCGAACGGGUGAGUAAUGCAUCGGAACGUGCCCAGUCGUGGGGGAUAACUAUCCGAAAGGAUAGCUAAUACCGCAUACGAUCUGCGGAUGAAAGCGGGGGACCUUCGGUCCUGGCGCGAUUGGAGCGGCGGAUGUCAGCUUAGGUAGUUGGUGGGGUAAAGGCUCACCAAGCCAACGAUCUGUAGCUGGUCUGAGAGGACGACCAGCCACACUGGGACUGAGACACGGCCCAGACUCCUACGGGAGGCAGCAGUGGGGAAUUUUGGACAAUGGGCGCAAGCCUGAUCCAGCAAUGCCGCGUGCAGGAAGAAGGCCUUCGGGUUGUAAACUGCUUUUGUACGGAACGAAACGGCUCUGGUUAAUACCUGGGGCUAAUGACGGUACCGUAAGAAUAAGCACCGGCUAACUACGUGCCAGCAGCCGCCGUAA